UUACACCUUUUUAAUUGGUCUUCAGAAAGAAUAAUGUCGUUGCAUGCAUCUCCACUAUGUUUGUUUUUUCAUUGUCUUAGCUGAAACACGAUGGAAAAUCAUUGUUAGUCCCCAAAUAAAAUCGCAUUUGGAUAUAUACGCAAUUUAUGAGCAAGCAACAAGAAGGCAUUUUCCAUCUUGAGACGAAAGAACGCUGCUUACCUUCAUUAUAUGCAGUCACUACCAUCUUAUUCUAGCUUCUUUGGCUGAUUGAUUAUCGAGGAUAAACAUAGUUGGCAAAGUUGCCCGAAAAGUGAGAUUAAACAUCCUUUUGUACGUCUUCAAGCUGCAUGUUGUUUUUCCUUCCCUGAAAAACGUCACUUCAUAAGUCUACUUCCACUUGAAGCUUAACAGGUGAACUAGUGCAGGCUAGUGCUAACGGCUAAUAAUGCUAACGUCAUUGGCCACACGAAACGACGACGUCACUCACCACGGAGUUCUUCAUGGCAGCCUUAACGUGGAUUACCAAGAGGAAGAAGGGAGUUUUCAGAGAGGCAAACUGGAGCGUCAGCAUCCUGACUUCAGCCGGACUGAGGAAAUUAUUGUUCAAACGGCAGCGCAUUAUCUCGCUCCCGUCAGUGCAGGCGCGCAGGAGGCCUUGCAGCAACAGCGAAUGAAAUUCAAAGUCGAUAGAAUUUUGCAUGCCUCUCCAAUGAUGUGCGCGCACGUGGGAAUUUGUAUGCGAGCGGAUGCACUCUCAUGUCAGGUUCAUAUCUAAAAAUUACACCGUUUCAAGGACACACAAACACCGUCAGAACUGAUUUGUAGUUUAAAAAAGUAGCUUUAAUUCCUUUUAGGAUCAUAUGUAAACAUAAUGAAUUACAUUAUUAAAGGUGUCUCAAUAUGCUGAUCAGGAUUUGCCAUGUAAAGUUUACAUUUCUACUGAAAGUGCAAUUUGGAUCAGAUUUAUAUGAAACCUGGUUUGACAUUAUAUUCUCAUGCAGUAUACAAUAGAACAAAUUUGCACAAAGUUUUAAUAAAUGCACGAUUCUCUCUGUUGAAUGGCAUUUUAUGUUAAAUUUCCAUGACUGCCAAAGAUGCAAUCUGGAUCGGAUUCAAAUGGCUUGACAUGGGAUUUUUCCUCUAUACGCAUGAUAAUGACGAUAUAAGCCUCUGGACAAA